AGCUUUGCACAGUGGCAGUACCGUAGCCAAUGAGGUUUAUCCGGGGCGCGAUUAUUGCUAAUUGAAAACUUUUCCCAGUUUUGGGUCUUUGUGGGUCUCCUAAUUUUAAGCACAGCACAGAGCAAGCACAUGGCUGCU